rnacentral:rRNA from 1 species
GAUGAACGCUGGCGGCGUGCCUAAUACAUGCAAGUCGAGCGAACGGACGAGAAGCUUGCUUCUCUGAUGUUAGCGGCGGACGGGUGAGUAACACGUGGAUAACCUACCUAUAAGACUGGGAUAACUUCGGGAAACCGGAGCUAAUACCGGAUGAUAUUUUGAACCGCAUGGUUCAAAAGUGAAAGACGGUCUUGCUGUCACUUAUAGAUGGAUCCGCGCUGCAUUAGCUAGUUGGUAAGGUAACGGCUUACCAAGGCAACGAUGCAUAGCCGACCUGAGAGGGUGAUCGGCCACACUGGAACUGAGACACGGUCCAGACUCCUACGGGAGGUAGCAGUAGGGAAUCUUCCGCAAUGGGCGAAAGCCUGACGGAGCAACGCCGCGUGAGUGAUGAAGGUCUUCGGAUCGUAAAACUCUGUUAUUAGGGAAGAACAUAUGUGUAAGUAACUGUGCACAUCUUGACGGUACCUAAUCAGAAAGCCACGGCUAACUACGUG